rnacentral:rRNA from 1 species
AACGGAGGGGGCAAGCGUUGCUCGGAAUCACUGGGCGUAAAGGGCAAGUAGGCGGCCUUGCAAGUCAGAUGUGGAAGCCCUCGGCUCAACCGAGGAAUUGCAUCUGAAACUGUGAGGCUUGAGUCCGGGAGAGGUGGGCGGAAUUCCCGGUGUAGCGGUGAAAUGCGUUGAUAUCGGGAGGAACGUCGGUGGCGAAGGCGGCCCACUGGACCGGUACUGACGCUCAGAGGCGAAAGCUAGGGGAGCAAACGGG